rnacentral:rRNA from 1 species
UACGGGGGGAGCAAGCGUUGUUCGGAUUACUGGGCGUAAGCGCGCGUAGGCGGCCCUGUAAGUCCGUUGUGAAAGCAAGGCUCAACCUUUGAAAGCCGAUGGAUACUGCAAGGGCUCGAGUUCGGAAGAGGCGAGUGGAAUUCCUGGUGUAGCGGUGGAAUGCGCAGAUAUCAGGAGGAACACCGAUAGCGAAGGCAGACUCGCUGGGACGGUACUGACGCUGAGGUGACGAAGCGUGGGGAGCGAACAGG